UUCAAUGCCUCAUGUGCGUGCGUUUUUUUUUUUCUUUUUUUUUUUUCUCUCUCUCUCUUUUAACCUGCCUGAAAACAAUCAUUGAAUGGAACAGCCUCAUGUUUUUUGCACUUUUCUAAAAGUAUCCAAAUAAAUGAAA
rnacentral:ribozyme from 12 species